rnacentral:rRNA from 1 species
UACGAAGGGGGCUAGCGUUGCUCGGAAUCACUGGGCGUAAAGCGCACGUAGGCGGAUUGUUAAGUCAGGGGUGAAAUCCUGGAGCUCAACUCCAGAACUGCCUUUGAUACUGGCGAUCUCGAGUCCGGGAGAGGUGAGUGGAAUUCCUAGUGUAGAGGUGAAAUUCGUAGAUAUUAGGAAGAACACCAGUGGCGAAGGCGGCUCACUGGUCCGGUACUGACGCUGAGGUGCGAAAGCGUGGGGAGCAAACAGG